GCCUUUGUGGAGCAAGGAGGCUCGCCUCGUCUUUAUGACGAGACCAAAAUGGGAAUUCGACGGGUGGGUGGUGGUUCAAUCCCACCCAAAGGCA